GUCGAACGCUUUUUCUUUCACCGGAGCUUGCUCCACCGAAAGAAAAAGAGUGGCGAACGGGUGAGUAACACGUGGGUAACCUGCCCAUCAGAAGGGGAUAACACUUGGAAACAGGUGCUAAUACCGUAUAACACUAUUUUCCGCAUGGAAGAAAGUUGAAAGGCGCUUUUGCGUCACUGAUGGAUGGACCCGCGGUGCAUUAGCUAGUUGGUGAGGUAACGGCUCACCAAGGCAACGAUGCAUAGCCGACCUGAGAGGGUGAUCGGCCACACUGGGACUGAGACACGGCCCAGACUCCUACGGGAGGCAGCAGUAGGGAAUCUUCGGCAAUGGACGAAAGUCUGACCGAGCAACGCCGCGUGAGUGAAGAAGGUUUUCGGAUCGUAAAACUCUGUUGUUAGAGAAGAACAAGGAUGAGAGUAAAAUGUUCAUCCCUUGACGGUAUCUAACCAGAAAGCCACGGCUAACUACGUGCCAGCAGCCGCGGUAAUACGUAGGUGGCAAGCGUUGUCCGGAUUUAUUGGGCGUAAAGCGAGCGCAGGCGGUUUCUUAAGUCUGAUGUGAAAGCCCCCGGCUCAACCGGGGAGGGUCAUUGGAAACUGGGAGACUUGAGUGCAGAAGAGGAGAGUGGAAUUCCAUGUGUAGCGGUGAAAUGCGUAGAUAUAUGGAGGAACACCAGUGGCGAAGGCGGCUCUCUGGUCUGUAACUGACGCUGAGGCUCGAAAGCGUGGGGAGCGAACAGGAUUAGAUACCCUGGUAGUCCACGCCGUAAACGAUGAGUGCUAAGUGUUGGAGGGUUUCCGCCCUUC
rnacentral:rRNA from 1 species